rnacentral:rRNA from 1 species
GUGAACGCUGGCGGUAGGCCUAACACAUGCAAGUCGCACGGCAGCACAGUAAGAGCUUGCUCUUACGGGUGGCGAGUGGCGGACGGGUGAGGAAUACAUCGGAAUCUACUUUUUCGUGGGGGAUAACGUAGGGAAACUUACGCUAAUACCGCAUACGACCUACGGGUGAAAGCAGGGGAUCUUCGGACCUUGCGCGAUUGAAUGAGCCGAUGUCGGAUUAGCUAGUUGGCGGGGUAAAGGCCCACCAAGGCGACGAUCCGUAGCUGGUCUGAGAGGAUGAUCAGCCACACUGGAACUGAGACACGGUCCAGACUCCUACGGGAGGCAGCAGUGGGGAAUACUGGACAAUGGGCGCAAGCCUGAUCCAGCCAUACCGCGUGGGUGAAGAAGGCCUUCGGGUUGUAAAGCCCUUUUGUUGGGAAAGAAAAGCAGCAGGUUAAUACCCCGCUGUUCUGACGGUACCCAAAGAAUAAGCACCGGCUAACUUCGUG